AUUAGGUUGAGUUUGUCAUCGUUUAAUGAAAUGUACAUAAGGGCUAAUCCUGUGUAGGAAAAAAAAUAUGUGUGUUAGUUCUAUCUGGAACCGUUUGUCCUGGUUUGUUUAUUUGGGGAUCCCAGAAACAGAGUCUUCGGACCUGCUGGCUGCUUAGUGUCUAGAUCCCUGGACAAGUUAAAAAGAGCUAGGCCUGAGAGCCACAAGCUAUGUAAUGGUGGUAGCUGGUCACAGUGCAAGCAGAGCUGUGGAUGCCUGCUUGGGAAAGCGGAAGGGAUAAUACCUGCCUGGGAGGAGAAAGCUACAGGCUGGUCCAGGGUGGAAGUAGGGAUGAUACCUGCCUGCAGGGCCGGACUGGGAAAAAAAAUUAGGCCCGGGCAUUUUUCAAUCAGAGUGGCCCCCUAACAAGGGGGCGGGGCCAGAGAGUGUGUGUUUUGUCAUCACUAAUGACAAGCACGCCCCCUCUCAAAGUGAG